GGGGCGGUAGCUCAAUAGGGUAGAGCGGCUGACUCUUAAUCGGUGUCGCGACAGUUCGCUGGUGCAAGUUCAAGUCUUGUCCGCCCCCA
rnacentral:tRNA from 1 species